rnacentral:tRNA from 1 species
AUGGAAAAUUGCAUUUUUGGAAUUUGCAAUAAUGCGAUGGGCGAACGACGGGAAUUGAACCCGCGCAUGGUGGAUUCACAAUCCACUGCCUUGAUCCACUUGGCUACAUCCGCCCCUUAUCCAGCUAAAGGAUUUUUUUUCUUUUUUCCAUUGAUCAUUAUUCUAUUUAUUCUGACCUCCGUACUUCGAUCGAGAUAUUGGACAUAG